UGUGUGCGAUGAGGAACAGUGACAGAUGGCGCUGUAGAGAUUGGGCGGACAGCGGGCAAUGUUUUGGUCAGCACUGUUCAGUCUUGUCCCACACGUUCUAUUAACUAGUGUUUCCGUAUUCCUGGUAACUUUUCCCUGCACCGAGCACCGCCAAGCAUCACCAGAGAGGCACGAGUAAGAGUACGUAAGGUAUUGGACGGACCAGAGCAUGACACUGAAGGGAAGGAGGACCUAGCAAGCAAUAAAAAGCAGAAGACAUCACAAGAAGAAUAAUAAUAUCAGGGUGUUUUGAGUUUUAGAUGUUUUUAGUGUGAUUUGCAUGUGUUUGGGUGAGUUUUGUGGGUAUUUUGAGGUGAUGCUGGGUGUUUUGAAUGUUUUUUGAUGAAUAAAAUAUGUUUUGGGUGUGUUUGGGUGAGUUUUGUGGUAUAUUUGGGUGUUGUGAGGUGUUUUAGGUGUGACUGGAUGAGCUUUCUUAUAUUUAGGGGUGUUCUGAGUGUGUUUUGAAUGUGUGGGUGAGUUUUGUUGUAUUUAAGGAUGUUUUGAGUGUGUUUUGGGGUGUUUUAAGUGCAGUUUGGAUGUGUUUGGGUGAGUUUUGCUGUAUUUGAGGAUAUUUUGAGUCCAGUUUGGGUGUGUUUGGAUGAGCUUUGUGAGUGUCUUCGGGUGUUUUGAGUGUGUUUUAGUGUAUUUUGACCACACAGCUCCCCAAUUACCCAAAUAAUGUAACUUAAACACUACAACCUCACCAGAUCUUACCGUAACAUAUACAGGAUAACCUUAUCAAGUCUAUUAUACCCACAAGGACUUGCCACACUCCAGACACUGUGCAGACAUCCCACAAGACCUCUUCAUUGACACUCAAGUCCAACAACUUCCUUGCCUCUGCACUGACCAGUAUCUUUGCCAACACUGAGGACAGCACCGCCCGCCUGCCGCCUCCCUUGGUCCUCAAGGCUCGUCGCUUCAAGGACCAUCUCUCUGCCAAGGUCGAGUGGGAUCUGACACUUGGAGACGAGGGGGAGUACACGCCGUUGGUGGUCGACGUGACAAAGUGUGGGAGGUGUUUGGGAGUGUGUUAGGAGGAAGGGGAUGGUGUUCUAGAAAGGGGAAUGUUUGUUUGUUUAUUUGUUUGUGUGUGUGUGUGUGUGUGUGUGUGUGUGUGAUUUUUUUUUUAUUUUUUCUCCUCAUAUUUUUUUCUUGCUCUUCUUUCUUCUUCCCAUUCUUUGUGUGUGUGUGUGUGUGUGUGUGUGUGUGUGUGUUUUGUAAAGAGAGAGGGAUAUGAGAUGCUAUUGUCCAUCUUCAAAUAUAUCAGCUUGAAGAAAGUCCUGUGGAACAUGA